rnacentral:rRNA from 1 species
GCUUUUUGUUUUUUAAUGUAAAAAGUCUUACCUGCCCGGUGAUUAUGUAAUUUAACGGCCGCAGUUGUCCUGUGCUAAGGUAGCGCAAUAAGUUGCCCUUUAAUUGGGGGAUAGAAUGAAUGGUUUUUCAUAGAUAUGCUGUCUUUAUAGUAAUGUACAAAAUUUUUUUGUAAGUGAAAAAGCUUAGAUUUUUGUAAAAGAAGAGAAGACCCUAUCGAACUUAAUUAGAUAUUAAGUUAUUAUGCUGUUUUCUUUUCAUUGUAACUUUAGAAUGGUUGAUUAUAAGGUGUUUCUUAUUAUUGAAAUUUUACUGGGGAAGUAAGAGUUAAAAAAGAACAGCUCUUUUUUAUAGAAAUCCUGUUAGACAGAAAAAAGCAAAAGUUACCGUAGGGAUAACAGCGUAAUAUUUUCCUGAAAGAUCUUAUUAAUGGAAUUGUGUGCGACCUCGAUGUUGAAUUAAAGAAACUCUCUGGUUGCAGAAGCUAGUGAAGUGAGACUGUUCGUCUUUUAAACCUUU